rnacentral:rRNA from 1 species
AUCUAAGUACCCCGAGGAAAAGAAAUCAACCGAGAUUCCCCCAGUAGCGGCGAGCGAACGGGGAGGAGCCCAGAGCCUGAAUCAGCAUGUGUGUUAGUGGAAGCGUCUGGAAAGGCGCGCGAUACAGGGUGACAGCCCCGUACACAAAAGCGCAUGUGCUGUGAGCUCGAUGAGUAGGGCGGGACACGUGGUAUCCUGUCUGAAUAUGGGGGGACCAUCCUCCAAGGCUAAAUACUCCUGACUGACCGAUAGUGAACCAGUACCGUGAGGGAAAGGCGAAAAGAACCCCGGCGAGGGGAGUGAAAAAGAACCUGAAACCGUGUACGUACAAGCAGUGGGAGCACCCUUUGGGGUGUGACUGCGUACCUUUUGUAUAAUGGGUCAGCGACUUAUAUUCUGUAGCAAGGUUAACCGUAUAGGGGAGCCGGAGGGAAACCGAGUCUUAACCGGGCGUUAAGUUGCAGGGUAUAGACCCGAAACCCGGUGAUCUAGCCAUGGGCAGGUUGAAGGUUGGGUAACACUAACUGGAGGACCGAACCGACUAAUGUUGAAAAAUUAGCGGAUGACCUGUGGCUGGGGGUGAAAGGCCAAUCAAACCGGGAGAUAGCUGGUUCUCCCCGAAAGCUAUUUAGGUAGCGCCUCGUGAAUUCAUCUCCGGGGGUAGAGCACUGUUUCGGCUAGGGGGCCAUCCCGGCUUACCAACCCGAUGCAAACUGCGAAUACCGGAGAAUGUUAUCACGGGAGACACACGGCGGGUGCUAACGUCCGUCGUGAAGAGGGAAACAACCCAGACCGCCAGCUAAGGUCCCAAAGUCAUGGUUAAGUGGGAAACGAUGUGGGAAGGCCCAGACAGCCAGGAUGUUGGCUUAGAAGCAGCCAUCAUUUAAAGAAAGCGUAAUAGCUCACUGGUCGAGUCGGCCUGCGCGGAAGAUGUAACGGGGCUAAACCAUGCACCGAAGCUGCGGCAGCGACGCUUAUGCGUUGUUGGGUAGGGGAGCGUUCUGUAAGCCUG